GUCGAGCGGACAGAUGGGAGCUUGCUCCCUGAUGUUAGCGGCGGACGGGUGAGUAACACGUGGGUAACCUGCCUGUAAGACUGGGAUAACUCCGGGAAACCGGGGCUAAUACCGGAUGGUUGUUUGAACCGCAUGGUUCAGACAUAAAAGGUGGCUUCGGCUACCACUUACAGAUGGACCCGCGGCGCAUUAGCUAGUUGGUGAGGUAACGGCUCACCAAGGCAACGAUGCGUAGCCGACCUGAGAGGGUGAUCGGCCACACUGGGACUGAGACACGGCCCAGACUCCUACGGGAGGCAGCAGUAGGGAAUCUUCCGCAAUGGACGAAAGUCUGACGGAGCAACGCCGCGUGAGUGAUGAAGGUUUUCGGAUCGUAAAGCUCUGUUGUUAGGGAAGAACAAGUGCCGUUCAAAUAGGGCGGCACCUUGACGGUACCUAACCAGAAAGCCACGGCUAACUACGUGCCAGCAGCCGCGGUAAUACGUAGGUGGCAAGCGUUGUCCGGAAUUAUUGGGCGUAAAGGGCUCGCAGGCGGUUUCUUAAGUCUGAUGUGAAAGCCCCCGGCUCAACCGGGGAGGGUCAUUGGAAACUGGGGAACUUGAGUGCAGAAGAGGAGAGUGGAAUUCCACGUGUAGCGGUGAAAUGCGUAGAGAUGUGGAGGAACACCAGUGGCGAAGGCGACUCUCUGGUCUGUAACUGACGCUGAGGAGCGAAAGCGUGGGGAGCGAACAGGAUUAGAUACCCUGGUAGUCCACGCCGUAAACGAUGAGUGCUAAGUGUUAGGGGGUUUCCGCCCCUUAGUGCUGCAGCUAACGCAUUAAGCACUCCGCCUGGGGAGU
rnacentral:rRNA from 1 species